CACGUAGGGGCCAAGCGUUGUCCGGAUUUAUUGGGCGUAAAGAGCUCGUAGGCGGUUCGACAAGUCGGGUGUGAAAACUCCGGGCUCAACCCGGAGACGCCACCCGAUACUGUCGUGACUGGAGUCCGGUAGGGGAGUGGGGAAUUCCUGGUGUAGCGGUGAAAUGCGCAGAUAUCAGGAGGAACACCGGUGGCGAAGGCGCCACUCUGGGCCGGUACUGACGCUGAGGAGCGAAAGCGUGGGUAGCAAACCGG
rnacentral:rRNA from 1 species